GGGGCUGCUUGGUUUUGACAGCAAGGAUGAUGGGUUUGUAAGCAUGCAGGCCGACGCGCCAGAGGCCUUGAAAACAGACGCAAAAAAUUAAUUGGCGAAAACAACUACGCUCUCGCUGCCUAACCGAAGAACAGUAAGUUCGGCUUAAUUCCCGCGCAAGGCGCGGGAACGGGACAUCCCUCAGCGGCCCUGACCGUCGGCGGCUGACAAGGGGGUGCUAAGAAAGACGGAAUAGCCGGCACGACGUCUCUACCUGCCGGCGAAACCAUAGAGACUACGGGUGGCCUUGGGUGCCGGUGUCCGGAGCCACCCCGACAAUCAACCACUGGAUAAGCAUGUAGAAAGCAGAUUUGUCACUUGUUUGGACGGCGGUUCGAGUCCGCCCAGCUCCACA
rnacentral:tmRNA from 1 species